GUCGACGAGGCUGUCACCGAAGCACGUGCUGAACCAACCUACCGCCCGCGACGAAGUCAGUUCAAUUAGGAUCCGAAUCGGAGGCGGCAAGUUGUUCCAACACUUCGUCGCUGCAUAGCGGAAACUACCAUGGAACGCUGCAGAUCGAUGCAUGGGUAUAUUGAGCAUGUAAGACGAUGCUCGUGUAGGGUAAUUCCUGUUACAUUCCUUUGCCCAGGUUAAUUUAUCGUACAAGUACACAGGGGCUUUACUUUGGAUCACGUCGAAUAGUAAGGUCGCAAGAUGCAAUUGCCUACGAUGUUCCAUCCUAAUCAUUCGUGCAUCAUUAAUAUAAGGAGAAAUAUGCGCGCAACGUGGUAUAUUAAAACAGUACCGCAUGCAUGCAUUUUGUACCCGUUGUAUAAGUUUUUUUGUACGUGCAAGUAGCCUAGGUUCAAUUACAAUAUCAGCAUAGUUGAAUUUUGAAAGAACCAGCGUUUCACACAACUUCACUCGCAUAUCCUUACUGAGAACAUUUCUUAUCUGAUACAAGACUUUUAACCUAUAAAAACAAUUACGAGCUGUAUUCAUGGUAUGUCUUUCAAACCUCAACCCCUCAUCAAUCACUAAGCCUAAAUUACGCACCUCUGUCACUCUUUCAAUCCUUUCACCCCUUAUGUGAAUAAAUGGAUUUAAACUACUGA